rnacentral:rRNA from 1 species
GACGAACGCUGGCGGCGUGCUUAACACAUGCAAGUCGAACGCUGAAGCUUGGUGCUUGCACUGGGUGGAUGAGUGGCGAACGGGUGAGUAAUACGUGAGUAACCUGCCCUUGACUCUGGGAUAAGCCUGGGAAACUGGGUCUAAUACUGGAUAUGACAUGCCACUGCAUGGUGGUGUGUGGAAAGGGUUUUACUGGUUUUGGAUGGGCUCACGGCCUAUCAGCUUGUUGGUGGGGUAAUGGCCUACCAAGGCGACGACGGGUAGCCGGCCUGAGAGGGUGACCGGCCACACUGGGACUGAGACACGGCCCAGACUCCUACGGGAGGCAGCAGUGGGGAAUAUUGCACAAUGGGUGGAAGCCUGAUGCAGCGACGCCGCGUGAGGGAUGACGGCCUUCGGGUUGUAAACCUCUUUCAGCACGGAAGAAGCGAGAGUGACGGUACGUGCAGAAGAAGCGCCGGCUAACUACGUG